ACUUACUCAUUUCACUAAAUUGGUCAAAUUGAUUAUUGAGUUGAUAAGUAAGUCACUGCAUCGGUUGGAGUGAUUACUUGAAUUGACAACUAAUUCACUGAAUUGGUUGGAGUGAUUACUGAGUUGACAACUUGCUCACAGAACCAGCUGGAGUGAUUACUGCAUUAGCUCACUCACUGAAUUGGCCAGUCAACUUACUAAUUUCCCUGAAUUGGUCAAAUCAGUUACUGAGAUGACAACUCACUCACUGAAUCGGUUGGAGUGAUUAAUUGAGUUGACAACUCGCUCACUGAAUCGGUUGGAGUGAUUAAUUGAAUUGACAACUCACUCACUGAAUCAGUUGGAGUGAUUAAUUGAGUUGACAACUCACUCACUGAAUUGGUUGGAGUGAUUACUUGAGUUGACAACUUACUCACAGAACCAGCUGGAGUGAUUACUGCGUUAACUCAAUCACUUAAUCGGCCAGACAACCUACUCAUUCACUGAAUCAGUCAAAUUGAUUACUGAGUUGACAACUCACUCACUGAACCUGUUGCAGUGAUUACUGCGUUAACUCAAUCACUUAAUUGGUUAACUCACUCACUGACAACCUACUCAUUCAUUGAAUCAGUCAAAUUGAUUACUGAGUUGAUAACUCACUCACUGAAUCGGUUUGAGUGAUAAAAGAGUUGACAACUUUCUGAAUCAUUUGGAGGGAUUACUGAGUUAACAACUCACUCACUGGACUGGUCAGUCAAUUCACUCAUUCACUGAAUCGGCCAAAUCAAUUUCUGAGUUGAUAACUCACAGACUAAAUCAGUUGGAGUGAUUUACUAAAUUAACCGCUCACGUCCUGAUGUGGAUUUAGUGAUUACGGAGUUAAAAACUCACUAAAUAAUUCACUACAUUGCGAGCCAUUAUAUUGUGUGUUAUGUGUACUUUUUGAUACAAAUGCAAAUUGGUAAGGUUUGUCAGACCUAAUUAAGUCUAUUUACUGACUGGUUCAUAUUAGCCUAUAAGAUAGUUUCAUAUUCACAAAAAUGUAGACAUUCUGUUGUCAGUAGUUCAACUUCAAUUCUCUCUAUACUAGAUAUUUAUAUUUAAUGUAAAAAAAUAUAUUUAGUCCAAACUGAAUCAAUAUGUUUCCCUUUAGGGCAUAAGGCCAUGAAGAAAACAUCAGCGUAGUUGAAGUGUUAUUCUGCCCUUUAAAAAAAAUAUCCCACUCAUCAUUCUACAUCUCAAAUUUCCCCCUCCCUUUCUGAGAGCUAAAUUUAACAGUAGGUAUUAAAAUAUCAUCAUGCAUUACCCUGGCUUGGAAAAGAUACAUUGGUCAGCUCACAUGGGCCCUUUCAGAGUGUGAUAUACACAAACAAACAUAGACACACAAAGCUGCUACAGUAUCAAAGUAAAAGUGUUACCAUUCUGGGGUCAUACUAAAAAGCACAGGCACAAAAAUAUGGAAGGAACCUGAAACAUAAUUACUAACAGGCCCGGUUCUACUGUGGUGCAAAUAAAUGUUAGAUCACCCUCAGUUAGAUAUGAAAGCCUAAUAAUAGCAGCCUGAUCUCAUGAAAUUUACAUGAACAUGACAACAUUUUUGCAAUUCAAAAUGUACAUGCUGUAUAACACGUUUGGCUGCAGGUUUCCAGUGAAAUGUCCAGCUGAGGGUGCCAAAAGGGAGUAAAAUGGUGUUGUGUUCAGACGAGGUUUUAAGGUGAAUUUUAGAUGGAUGUUUUUAAAACAUAACUCCCUAAUGUAAAACUUUUGCCUGAACCUAACCAAUAGUGUUUUAAAAUAUAAAUGAGAUGUUUAAAAAAGACAUCCUUACCAAAUCAAACCCUUAACCUAACCAUUAGUGUUUUAAAAUAGAAAUGAGAUGUUUAAAAAAGAUAUCCUUACCUUAUCAAUGCCUAAACCUAACCAUUAGUGUUUUAAAAUGCUGAAGCAAAAGCACAUUUUCUGAACCAACCACAGCAUUUCUUGCCACUUCUACGACUCUGUAAUGUCACAAAUCAGCUUGAGUUCAUGGUUGGACUUGAACUGCAGUACUCCAACUCUAAGUCCAACGCCCUAUCAGGUGAGCUACUGCACAAGCUACUCAUGUUGGAAUAAGUGUAUAUAUGUAGGUGUGUCUGUAAUACAAGCAUUAAAAUGUAUAGUUUUUCAAAAGAUGCGUUGGAGUAAAAGUGUGUCGUUAUCAUGAAAUUGUUCAAAAUAAACUGUUCUAGCGUGUAACACUCUCACUCACGGUGCUGUACUGUACUUCCCUGCCCUGUGCUGCUGUUUAUCUCUCUGAAAAGCCUAACCCGCUAGAGGCCAAAAGUGCGCAUGGUAUGGAUAUUAUAUAAAGAAAGUAUGAGAAAUCACAAAAUAUAAUAUAACCAAAUGCUACAAUUUACUUAAUAAUAUUAUCUCAAUUUGUUAAAUAACCAUCAUGUUAAUUAAGACAUUAUUACAACUAUAAUACUAUAAUACAUAUACAGAGCAACCACUUUUAGUGUUUGAAUCAAUCAUAUCUCUCACUAAACACUGUGUGAAAUGUUUAUUUUUGCCUUAUUUUAUUCAUUUGGCAUGUAGGAGUUGAUAACAGUUUGCUUAAUAAUUUCAUUCCAUAUCUAGAUAACUGCUGCAAUAUCAUAGAGGAUAAAUUUCCUCCUCUAUGAUAUUGCAUUAUAUUAGUUUUGUACAGUAUUGUGAGGAAACCGCUCUCCUAUGUCCUCCUGCUGUGAAGGCCUUUUACACUGGUGCCGCAACCCGGGAAUUGGUUUAAAGACCGCACGCCCCAUGGAGUCCUUCCCGCUGUCUGACAUCAUCAAGUCCCUCGCUGACCUACAUCAGACCCACCAACAGGCUCUGCUUGAGCUCCACCAAGAUCAGGAAUGCCACUUCCAUGAGGUUCUUGGAGCUCAGGCAGAGGACCGGCAGGCCAUUCGGAGCCUUCUCAACCAGGAGAAAGCCCCGGCAGUGACCCCCGGACAACAGCAGCCCCUGCCCACACUGAUGAAGAUGGGGGUGGAAGAUGUCCUGGAAGCCUUCCUCGACUUGUUCAAGCUCACCGCUGAAAUCUGGGGCUGGCCGCAUGCUCAGUGGGUGGCCCGGCUCAUCCCUUUGCUGUCUGGGGAAGCCCAGCUUGCCGCACAAUAACUGCCGCCGGUUAAUCUCCUGGUCUACAGCGACCUGAAGAAGACCAUCCUGCAGCGGGUUGGCUGGAGCCCAGAGCAAUACCGACAACUGUUCUGCACGAUGAAGCUGGAAGGAGCCAGCCACCCGUUCACCUCCUCUCAGAUGCCUGCCGGAAAUGGCUGCUGGUGGGGGACCGCGACAUCGAGGGAGUGGUCGACCAAAUGGUGCUGGAACAGCUGAUCCACCGGCUUCCAGAAGGGACGGCUAAUGGGUCCAGUGCCAUUGCCCAGCAUCGCUGGAGGAAGCAGUCCAGCUGCCAGAGGACCAUAUGGCGGCGUGUCCAAGGGCGGAAGGGCCCUCUCCCUCUCUCUCUCCUCCCCCUGUGUUUCUUCCCAUCUCUUCCCACUCCCCCCUCCCCUCUCACUUUGUCCUCUCUCCAGGCCCUGUUCCUGCACCCUGGAGGCGUGGAAACCCACCACCGAAGCCAGCUCCUCACUUGCGCCGGUUUAUCCCUUUCCCGGCGACUUCAGUGCCUUCCCGCUCUCCCCCUCAGGUGGAUGUACCUGCCCCUUCAAGUGCGGGCAUAGCGCCUGGGCCGGCCUGCUGGCGUUGCGGGGAUCCUUCCGGGAUCAGUGUCCUGUGAUGGAGCUGGGAACUGUAGUCCGGAUCCCCGAUCCACCACAGGCUGCCCCCGAUCGGGCUGGAGGGUACAGGAUACCGGUAAGAGUCAAGGAGAGAACACACCAAGCCUUGGUGGACACGGGUUGUAACCAGACCACUAUCCACCAAUGCUUGGUUCAACACGAGGCUUUGGGCACAACUAAAAGUGUGAGGGUGAAAUGUGUACAUGGGGAUAUUCACAACUACCCUGUGGUGACCCUCGUUAUUAAAUUUCAGGGAACAAAGCAUAGAGUGGAGGCCGCGGUUAGUUCCCGCCUCACCCAUCCGCUGAUUUUGAGGACUAAUUGGCCUGAGUUCAGAAAUGUAUUAAAGGGAAUAUGCGUGGAUGGGUCCUGCACAAAAGCGACGAAAUGUGCGAUGCUCUGGCAGGGGAGGUGGAGCCUGGGCCGUCUUCAUCAGCUCCACGUCAGGAUGAGGUGAGGGGGGAAGAGGCUGCAGCCCCUCCCAUCCUCGGGGGAGGGUAUUUUCCUUUGGAGCACUUGCGAGACGAAACCCUCAAGCAAGCCUUCAACCAAGUGAGUGAUCGAUGGUCAACAACUCCAGCCGAAUGUCGCACUUUCAUAUCUCUAUUUCGCAAUUAUAAAUGAGUGGUUGUAUAGAGUGAUGCAGGAUGCUCAAACUAAGGAAGAUACAGCCCAGCUCUUAAUACCACAGAGCCGCUGGGAAAUGGUGUUCCAGGCGGCUAAUUAUAAUCCCAUGGCGGGGCAUCUAGGGGAAAGAAAAACACUGAACUGACUAAUAGCCCGUUUUUAUUGGCCGGGCAUUGGCGGCGAUGUUCGCAGGUGGUGUGCGGCUUGACGUGAAUGUCAGCUGGUGAACCCACCGGCCACCCCAAAAGAGCCAUUGCGCCCCCUUCCGCUGAUUGAGAUCCCCUUCGAGAGAAUUGGCAUGGACCUCAUCGGGCCAUUAGAGUGGUCAACACGCGGACAUCGCUUUGUAUUGGUCCUAGUGGACUAUGCAACGUGAUAUCCAGAAGCAGUGCCCCUGCGCAACAUCUCAGCACGCAGUGCUGCGGAGGCACUCUUCAAAAUAAUCUCCCGGGUGGGGAUUCCGAAAGAAAUCCUCACCGAUCAGGGCACAACACUUAUGUCACGGACACUACACAAGCUUUAUGAAUUAUUGGGCAUUAAGUCAAUUUGCACCAGCAUUUACCAUCCACAAACAGAUGGCCUGGUGGAGCGAUUUAAUAAAACCCUUAAAAUUAUGAUUUGUAAGUUUGUGCACGAGGAUGCUAGAAAUUGGGACAAAUGGCUCGAUCCCCUGUUAUUCGCAGUACGAGAGGUCCCGCAAGCCUCCACUGGGUUUUCCCCAUUCGAGCUUCUGUAUGGACGGUGCCCGUGCGGCGUGCUUGAUGUCAUACGCGAAGCUUGGGAGGAGGGACCUUCAACCAGUAAAAAUGAAAUUCAAUACAUUCUAGAUCUUAGAGGAAAACUCCACACCUUGGGGCAACUAACACAGGAGAAUUUGCUCCAAGCUCAAGAACGACAGAGCCGACUGUAUAACAGGGGAACUUGGCUAUGGGAAUUUGCACCAGGAGAUAAGGUACUCGUAUUACUCUCCACAUCGAGCACCAAAUUACUUGCCAGGUGGCAAGGACUUGCCUUUGAGGUCACACGACAAGUGGGGGAACUCGAUUAUGAGGUAAGGAGAGCUGAGAGAGGGGGCGCGCGUCAAAUUUAUCACCACAACCUCCUGAAAUUGUGGAAGGAGGCGGCCCCUGUGAUGUUGGCUAUGGUAGUUCUGGAGAGGGCGGAGCUCGGGCCGGAGGUAAACACAAAACACAAUCAUGUCACCACGGUCACUUGCGGAGACCACCUUUCACCAUACCAACUCGCAGAGGUUGCCAAACUACAACAAGAAUUCGCAGAUGUGUUUUCCCCUCUACCAGGUCACACAAACCUCAUCCAGCAUCACAUUGAGACCGAGCCGGGGGUGGUAGUACGUACCUGUCCCUACCGAUUGCCCGAACAUAAAAAAAAAAUUGUCCAGGAAGAAUUGGAUGCAAUGCUCAAUAUGGGAGUAAUAGAGGAAUCCCACAGCGACAGGUCCAGCCCGGUUGUUCUGGUGCAUAAGAGCGAUGGUCUGUACGGUUCUGUGUGGAUUAUAGAAAAGUCAACGCGGUGUCUAAAUUUGAUGCCUACCCAAUGCCUCGUAUUGAUGAGUUGCUCGAUCGGUUAGGCACUGCUCAUUUUUACUCGACACUGGAUUUGACAAAGGGUUAUUGGCAGAUCCCCUUGACACCAAUUUCCCGUGAAAAAACGGCUUUCUCCACACCGUUCGGAUUACACCAAUUUGUGACACUUCGGUUUGUUUGGGGCUCCAGCCGCGUUUCAGCGCCUCAUGGACCGAAUCCUCAGACCACAUACGGCUUACGCCGCUGCCUAUUUGGAUGAUAUCAUCAUUUAUAGCAAUGAUUGGCAGCGGCAUAUGCAGCAUCUGAGGGGGGUUCUGAGAUCGCUGAGAUGGGCGGAGCUCACAGCAAACCCUAAGAAGUGCACGAUUGGGCGGGUGGAGGUACGGUAUCUGGGGUUCCACUUGGGCCACAGGCAGGUGCGUCCCCAAAUUGACAAGAUGGCGGUGAUUGCGACCUGCCCGAGACCCAAGACCAAAAAGGGGGUGAGACAGUUCCUGGGGCUGGCUGGCUAUUAUAGGAGAUAUGUGCCUAUAUAUUCGGACGUCACCAGCCCGCUGAUUUCACUGAAAAGGGAGCUCCAGACCCUGUCCAGUGGACGGAGCAGUGCCAACAGGCGUUUACGCAGGUUAAAGCCGCACUUUGCGGGGGGCUGCUUUUACAUGCACCUAAUUUUUCUCUCCCUUUUGUAUUGCAGAUGGACGCUUCAGACAGGGGGCUAGGGGACGUGCUCUCGCAGGUGGUGGAGGGGGAGGAGUGCCCGGUGCUGUACAUCAGUUGCAAGCUCUCCUUGAGGGAAACAAAGUACAGCACUGUGGAAAAGGAGUGUCUGGCCAUCAAGUGGGCAGUCCUCACUCUCCGUUACUACCUGCUGGGGCGGGCCUUCACCCUCUGCUCAGAUCACGCCCCACUCCAAUGGCUUCACCGCAUGAAGGAUACCAACGCGCAGAUCACCCAGUGGUAUCUGGCUCUCCAGCCCUUUAAAUUCAAGGUGGUCCACAGACCGGGGGCACAGAUGGCUGUCGCCGACUUCCUUUCCAGAAAUGGGGGGGAGUGGUAGACAGGCCGGAUGUCUCCCCGGCCUGAGUCGGGCGGUGGGGAUAUGUGGCAGCGGUGGCGUGGUCGAGCGUCCAUCCGGGGAGAGAGAAAGCGAUGAUGUGUUGUCAAGAGAUGCCGGAGAGUGUGUAAUAUGUCUCGAGGAGCUACAGCAAGGAGACACCAUCGCUAGACUGCCGUGCCUCUGUAUCUAUCAUAAAAGCUGUAUAGACUCCUGGUUUGAGAUCAACCGCUCCU